rnacentral:rRNA from 1 species
GGAUUAGAUACCCUGGUAGUCCACGCCCUAAACGAUGUCUACUAGUUGUCGGGUCUUAAUUGACUUGGUAACGCAGCUAACGCGUGAAGUAGACCGCCUGGGGAGUACGGUCGCAAGAUUAAAACUCAAAGGAAUUGACGGGGACCCGCACAAGCGGUGGAUGAUGUGGAUUAAUUCGAUGCAACGCGAAAAACCUUACCUACCCUUGACAUGGAUGGAAUCCCGAAGAGAUUUGGGAGUGCUCGAAAGAGAACCAUCACACAGGUGCUGCAUGGCUGUCGUCAGCUCGUGCCG